GAUGAACGCUGGCGGCGUGCUUAACACAUGCAAGUCGAACGGAAAGGCCCAAGCUUGCUUGGGUACUCGAGUGGCGAACGGGUGAGUAACACGUGGGUGAUCUGCCCUGCACUUCGGGAUAAGCCUGGGAAACUGGGUCUAAUACCGGAUAGGACCACAUUUUGGAUGGUGUUGUGGAAAGUUUUUCGGUGUGGGAUGUGCUCGCGGCCUAUCAGCUUGUUGGUGGGGUAAUGGCGUACCAAGGCGUCGACGGGUAGCCGGCCUGAGAGGGUGUACGGCCACUCUGGGACUGAGAUACGGCCCAGACUCCGACGGGAGGCAGAAGGGGGGAAUAUUGCACAAUGGGCGCAAGCCUGAGGCAGCGACGCCGCGUGGGGGAUGACGGCCUUCGUGUUGUAAACACCUUUCGCUAGGGACGAAGCGUUGUUGUGACGGUACCUGGAGAAGAAGCACCGGCUAACUACGUG
rnacentral:rRNA from 1 species